UACGUAGGGAGCAAGCGUUGUCCGGAAUCAUUGGGCGUAAAGCGCGCGUAGGUGGCCUCAUAAGUCCGCUGUGAAAGUCAAAGGCUCAACCUUUGAAAGACGGUGGAUACUGUGAGGCUAGAGUACGGAAGAGGCGAGUGGAAUUCCUGGUGUAGCGGUGGAAUGCGCAGAUAUCAGGAGGAACACCAAUAGCGAAGGCAGCUCGCUGGGACGUUACUGACACUGAGGCGCGAAAGCGUGGGGAGCAAACAGG
rnacentral:rRNA from 1 species